AGUGAACGCUGGCGGUAGGCCUAACACAUGCAAGUCGAACGGCAGCACAGUAAGAGCUUGCUCUUACGGUUGGCGAGUGGCGGACGGGUGAUGAAUACAUCGGAAUCUACUUUUUCGUGGGGUAUAACGUAGGGAAACUUACGCUAAUACCGCAUACGACCUACGGGUGAAAUCAGGGGAUCUUCGGACCUUGCGCGAUUGAAUGAGCCGAUGUCGGAUUAGCUAGUUGGCGGGGUAAAGGCCCACCAAGGCGACGAUCCGUAGCUGGUCUGAGAGGAUGAUCAGCCACACUGGAACUGAGACACGGUCCAGACUCCUACGGGAGGCAGCAGUGGGGAAUAUUGGACAAUGGGCGCAAGCCUGAUACAGCCAUACCGCGUGGGUGAAGAAGGCCUUCGGGUUGUAAAGCCCUUUUGUUGGGAAAGAAAAGCAGCAGGUUAAUAACCCGCUGUUCUGACGGUACCCAAAGAAUAAGCACCGGCUAACUUCGUG
rnacentral:rRNA from 1 species